CCAAUAGCGUAUAUUAAAGUUGCUGCAGUUAAAAAGCUCGUAGUUGAAUUUCGGGACUAAUAUGUCGGUCGUGCCUCGGUACGUGCUGGUAUUUUUGGUUUCUCCCCUCUGACGAACCUUGAUGUCAUUAAUUUGGUGUCUUGGGAAAUCAGGACUGUUACUUUGAAAAAAUUAGAGUGUUUAAAGCAGGCUCACGCUUGAAUACAUUAGCAUGGAAUAAUGAAAUAGGACGUUUGAUUCUAUUUUGUUGGUUUCUAGGAUCGACGUAAUGAUUAAUAGGGAUAGUUGGGGGCAUUAGUAUUCAAUUGUCAGAGGUGAAAUUCUUGGAUUUAUUGAAGACUAACUACUGCGAAAGCAUUUGCCAAGGAUGUUUUCAUUAAUCAAGAACGAAAGUUAGGGGAUCGAAGACGAUCAGAUACCGUCGUAGUCUUAACCAUAAACUAUGCCGACUAGGGAUCGGAUGAUGUUAAUUUUUUAAUGACUCAUUCGGCGCCUUACG
rnacentral:rRNA from 1 species